rnacentral:tmRNA from 1 species
GGGGAUGACAUAGCUUUAGACAAAGAGAAUCUUAACAAUCUGUCCAGCGUGUUGAUUUGUAAGCAUUACUUACUUCUUUAACUGCAAACACAUUUGCACAGCGAUUUGUAGCUUCAGUAAAGAGUAUCUUUACUGUUUCUGCUUUCGCGCCAGCACUAGUUUAAUCUAGGGCCAUCGGUAGCUUGACGCUUGAUAAAGCUUUGCCGGUGUCAUAUUUAUCGAGCUUUGUAACUUGUGGUAUAUCAGCAUAAGUUGCGAGAUUUUUCUGAUAUCAAUCUGAAGUUAAUUUUUGUUUGUUCUUGAUAACUAAGAUUGUAAAUUUUAGAAUAAACUACACACGUAGAAGGCCAGAUGUUACUUUUUGGACGCGGGUGCGAUACCCGCCAUCUCCACCA